rnacentral:tRNA from 1 species
UGGAGAGUGGCAGAAAAGUGCCUUAGGCUUAAGACCUAACAAUGAGAUUUAACUCCUCCCCAA